UAGGUCAAGAUCUUUCACAUACAAAUCCGGCCGCCGCCGCUGCUGUCGCAACAGCGGGCCUCCAUCAAACGAACAUAUCUGUGGGUAAUCAAAAUACAGCGGCCGCAGCAGCAGCCGCCGCAGCUGUCAGUGCUGCACAGAAGGAUGAAUGGUUCGUUUAGGUGGAGGUUGAGGAGGAGGAGAAUGAAAAUAGAGAAGCAACACAUUAAGCAGUGAAUGAUCAAUUAGACUUCAGGAGAACUGUUGUUUUUUCUUUUUACAUAAUUUUUAAAUUAAAAAAAAAAGGAUUUUGCAUGGCAUUAAAUGAAGACUGUAUAAAAGUUAUCAACAUCAAAUUUAGUGGGCAUCUACGCGCAGGGUGAUCAUUUAAGAGAUUUAUAGUACCCAAAUCUCUUAGCGUUGAGCAUAGAAAAUUUCAGCAUGCACUUGUCAAAAGUAUGUAUGUAUGAAAUUUUAGUGUCGGAUAAUCAACGCAACUUGUAAAUAAAAUAUAAAUACAUAUAAACAAUUAAAUAAAUGUAAUUGUAAUUGAUUAGAAUUGAAGUAAUUUUUUUUUAGUAGCACAUUGAUGGUCUAAAAGUGUGUAACAGUGAAUAUAUUAGGAAAAAUGUGUAAUAAAAAGAAAGGUAGUUAAUAGAGAAUUUUAAUUUUAAGCCUAAAAGUAUGAAAUGAAAACUGGAUGAAGUCAAAGCCGUAAAUUUAAAGCUAAGCAAUUAGUUUUAGCCUAAGAUAUAUGCUCCUUUUUUACAAUAAAAAUAAAUUGAAAAGCGAAUAUAAUAAAAAUGAUAAAAAAUAAUUAGUUUAAGAAAUAGAACUUGAUUUCUUGCAAAUAAAACUUCUCAUUUACACACACAGGAAUGUGGAAAGUUUGGAUGAAAAAUCGAUCCUCGUUUUUUUUUUUUAACAAUAUUUUAGUCUUUACAGUGGUUACUACAUAGCUUUCAAAAUAUUUCAUCUAUUAAUAACAGCCCAAACACAGCAGAUGAAAAAAAUUUUGGUGCUUUUGUGCUUUUGGUUUUUAACGUUAGACUUCAGAAAUGGGAAAAUGGCUUUUGCAAAAUGCUUUAGAACUUUCAUUAGAAAAGCUUUUUUGAUUUAGUUUCUUAUUCAAUGGCCUGAAAAUACUUUAAAAAAUUUCGUUUUGGGCUUCGGAGCUUUUAUGAUUUUAUUUUUUAAAGUCAGCUUCCAUCAAAAGAUCUUUAAGUUUAUAAAAUUUCGUAAUGUGAAUGCUUAAGAGCGCGCUGUUAAGUUGAACACUGGAAAAAAGCUUUCGAAUACUCCAUUUUCUGCAUUUGUGACUUGUAUACUUAAGUUAGUGUACAUCAAAAAAGCUUGUAGGUUCUUUGAGUUCAAAGAACUUUCAAAAUGGGAAAGCUUAAGAACUGGUUGCUUAGUGGCUAAUGGUUCAAUAGCCAGAAAAACGCUUUAAAGGUGUGACUUUAUGCUUUUAGGCCUACGUACAUUUGUGUUUCAAAGUUAAAAUUCAACAAAAAAGCUUCAAAGUUGUUGUGUAAAUUUUAUAAUGAGAAAGCUUCGAAAUGAAUAGCUUUAUUCAAUAACCUUAAAAAGCCUUUGAGGAUGCAAUUUUCACCACGUUGUUUUUGAAACUCGAUAUGUAGAUUUCCUUAGCGUUAAAAAAAACGUAAAAAUUUGUUUUAGACCUAGGUCGCGCACGCCUUGCCUAUCUAUUUGCACAUCGCUUUUCUAUGUAUACUAAUGUUAGCCAGAGAGAGCUUUUAUCCCCUGCUCAUCCACAUAUACCAAAUGUAUAUCAAUCUUAAAAAAAGUGUCGCAUGGGUGACUAUUAAGGGGCCAACAUUAUCGUUAAUGCUUUCAGGCACAGACAGAAAGCUGUAUAAAGCAUUGAAAAUAACACUUUUUUUUAUUGUAUGCUCUGAAAGCUCAAAACCAUGAAAAAUUCUGCAUGAGUGACUAUUUCGUGACCAACUCUACUUUAAAAACUUUCGGGUUCACAAAUUAAGCUAUGGUUUGAAAGCUCAAUUGUGACAACAUUUGUCAAUGACAGUUGUUUGACUUUUCAAACUUCUAUUGAAUUUUUCGAGAGAACUUUUGUAUAAAUAGUUUACGCCUUGUAAAUUUGGUAAAAACAUUUUACUCGCUGAAAGUUUCAGCUAAAAAGCUCUCAUAACAUUUUUUUAUUUUUAAAAGCACAAAAGCUGUCUUUAUACAAAUUCGACGUUGCCGCUUGAAUGGAAAGUUUUAGCUUAAAAGCUUUCAUCGAUUUUUUAUUUCUAAAAGCACAAAAGCUGCUUUCGUUUGAAAAUUCGAUGCUGACGAAGGAUCUAACAAAAGAGGAAAGAGGAUUGAAAAGCAAAGCUCAGCGGUAAAACAUUUCAAGAAUCCCAGAAAACUGAAUCAUAGAGUAUUACAAUAUCAAAGCCGUUGGCGAGGAUAAUAUUGAAAAGCCACUUCCAUGAGGAAAAUAAAUUUUCAAACACAAAAAUUUUAGGAAAACUAAAGUUGUAAGAAAAUAAUUGUAAAAAAGCUCACUUGUAGUUAAUAAGGCAGGACAGUGCAAUAAUAAAAUUUUUCCCAAAGUUCGUAAGUACUUAAUCAUUAAAAAAAAACCUGUACACUGCAAAUUUACAUAAAAGCUAUGGAAUAUUAUAAAAAAUAGUGCAAAUAAUACGAAAUUGUAGCUAACUGUUUAAAAGCCACAAAGAAAAACUCAAUUUAAUAUUACUACAUAUAAUAAAACAACAAACAAGGGAUGUAAAUAGUUGACAAUACAGCAAAUAAAAAACAUUAAAUAUAGAUUGAAGGAAAAGAAAAGGUACCAAAAAAAUAUGUAAAGCUAAACGAUAAUAUCAAAGAGCGAAUACCAGAAUCAGUUACACAUUUUCAUCAAAAAAAAAGGUUAGAUGUCAUUGUUUAUUGGAAUUUUGAUUUUGCAUAAGACGCAGUAAAAUUUAAGAUUCUAGAUUUUUAUGUCAAAUUCAGCGCUUAGUAGCUUUGUAGUUCAUUUUCAUCAAGAAAUUUAUUCUGUCACAUGAAGCCAAGACUAGUAGCAUUGCAGAGAAAAAUCUAGAAGCAGUUAACAUAAGUUAGACGCAAUUAUGUGUCUUGAUUUAAUUUAAUUUUUUAUUUUUAUUUUUUAUUUAAUUUUGAUUAAUACCAUUCUCUUGAUUUUCUUCAGUAAUAUAUAGACAAAUAAGUACUUAAACUUUCAUUGGAUAAGUUUUAUUUACUAAAUAACAUAAAUGAACAAUCGCCAAUCGAACAAACGCAUUUUAAGCCAACGUUAAAUGUUGUGUUCUUAUAAAAUCGUCCCAUCUGACUCAUUUUUGAAAGUUGUUCUAAUUCUCUCAUUAAAAAUAUGUGAUACAAAGUUGCAUGGUACCUAAUCUAUCAUAUGAUGCAUGUCACAUGUCCAAUUAAAAAAUAUCACAUGCUCAUAUAUCAGCUGAUGCAUCAUCAAAUAUCACGCGAGGUAAUAUCGCUUGUGCAUACAUGCAUAUAUUGCUUGAUCAUACACGUUUAUAACGUUAAGUAAUAUAAUUUACGGAAAUUUGAAUAUUUUAAGGUUUUUUAAUGAAAUCUUGUUCAUUUGGGAUCUGUACAUCACAUGAUUGAGCAUACAAACCAAUAUUAAAUCACAUCAUUUCAAAUCGCAUCACUUGAAGCAGCUCAGUUAAAUUUCACCUCAUAAUUUCACAACUCUUAUAACAUAGCAUUCCGAAAAUAACACGUUUUAGUGAAAGAUCAAAUAAAAUAAUAUCAAAUGACGCAUAAACAAUUUAUCACAAGACGGUCGAGAACGUUCUCAGCGCGAAUAAUUUAAGAAAAAAAACACUGGGGUACGUUUCCUAAAGUUGGAUUUACAUGCGGCGAGUUUCAAGGCGAUUCAACAUUGCUCAAGAAAAAUCGCUCGUGUAAAUGGUGAUUCAAAAAUCGCUUGCCUGAAAGUAGACAGCAAGUCAACUUUUGCAGGAACAUUUAUAAGACAAAAAAAGUCUAAGGAACUUUCUCUCGAAGAACAAUUUUGGAACUAAAGUCUCAGGAGCAUUCUGACAGGGAACGAAACGGGAGCACACCUUCUCUGAACUAUUCACGAAGAAUGGAAGGCACGAACUUUUCUUGCACAGAAAAUGAAAAAUUAUUUCAUACAUGGACAGUUCCCUCUUAUGAUAAACUACCCGGUAGUUGAAAUGAUGGCUUAGAAUUACCAAUCAUAAUUCUCACUGAAACGAAUUUCCAUCCCAACAUGCAAACAGCUCUCUCAUUCUUAACGUUAAGUUCUCAAAACUUUUGUUGUCAUUUUGUUCUCUACCAGAACGUUACCCAGACUUGAAAACGUUCUCGAUACGUUCCUUCUCAUUGAAAAGGUUUUCGAAAGUUUCGUUCGCAUUCUGUUCUUCUUAAGAAUGUUCUUGGGAGGUUUUGAUCUAAUUUUGUUCUUUUUUUGAAUAUUCCUCACAGUUGUGUUCGCAUUUUUUGCUUAACGGAAACGUUCCCGAACCGUUUGUCCUCAUUUUGUGCCCGUUCAAACUGCUCAAUACUUUUGUUCCCGUUUGGUUCUUUUGCGGGAACAUUUUUGUCAUUACAUGUUGUUCUCGUGGGGAACUAAACCAAAACCGGAACCGGAAAAAAAUGGUCUAUACUUGUAGCGAAGAAGAGCCCAUAAAUAUGUGGCUACCACUGUAUAUUGGUCAUUAUGGCCUAUGACCUUCUAUAAUUUUUCGGGUAACUCCAUAAUGCCAUCUGUGUAGAAAUUUUUUUAAUCCGUCACCUGUUGCGUAGAUCAAUACCGGAUUGGAAGGAUUGUUGCUUAUAAUCCUCCGAAGAUAUGUUCAAACUUUAAACUUCUGGAGAGCCUGGAGUAUUUUCUGCCAGCACGCAGUAUUUAAAGCAUCCUUCACGUCCAGAGUAAUAGCAAGCAGCACUUCUUCGAUCUUCGAACUUUUCAUCGUUGCCCGCUGAUCGCAUCUUUAGCCAACUGAAACCGAACUGCAUAUCUGAGAGUCCUCCACCUGCAUCGAUCGUUGCUACUACUCUAUUAUUUGUUAAACGGUCUAGCAAAUUUCCCACCAUGUCUAGCAUAUACAUAGAGCGAUAUGCUGCAGGAUCACCCGGUGGUUUUCCAGACUUGGGUUGGAGCACUAAACGCUGUUGCUUCCAUAUAGCAACAAACCUUCCGCAAAGCGUCCAUUGAACGUAUGAACAAAUACUUCGGGACUCGGCAUCGAGAUAAGUUUAAGCACACAGUUAGGAAUGGAAUCAGGGCCUGAAGAUUUUCGGGAAACAAAAAAAAAUUAGCCGCGCCUAUAACUUCUCCUUCGGCAACUUCAGGAAAAACACAUUGUCUUCUGAGGAAUUUUUCAUUUUAUCUGUGGCCGCACUGAAUUUUUCUCCUUUUUUGUAAUCACCUUGUACGCUCAUGCCCACGAGCCUCAGAAAUGGUUCGAUUUCAUUGCGUUUCACUGAUGGUAAUUCGCUCAAUCGAAUUUCUUACAGUUAAUUCAUGUGCCACCAAAACAUCGAGCUUGUUUAAGUAGCCUGAUCUCCUUAUAUGCUUGAUUUUUAGUGGUUCCAUUUACUUCAUCGACUGUUCCAGUGAUAGGCUGACAAGAGGGAGGUACAUUACUAACUCACAAUUUCCAAAACGGAAUCGAUCAAACCUCUCCUGGGUCCGGCGGUCACUGACAGCAUUCUCACCGUACACUGCACACAUUUUUUUCUGCAUGUUUUUAUGGCUCUUUUUGCCCUUUUUAUAGUACAAUGAGUUUUGAAGUCCUGAAAUCGAGCGACUAGUAUUAAAUAAUCAUCGCACUUCACAAUUUAUUUCAUCACAUUCAAUACAUUACUUCUGAUUGUGCAAAAUCACAAGAUUUCUCAGCGUUUUAUGAAAUAUUCGUAACAUCAUCUGAGGAGAGCAUAUGGAUAUCACAUCGUACGUUCUUAGCAACAUAUCACUUCUUGUCAUUUAUUUUUUUUUUUGUUGAACAAAAUAUUUCAGCGUUGCAUGUUGACGUUGUAUCGCAGAUGAUCUUGACAACUCAUGACAUCACUUCAUUAAACAUCACGUCAACUCAUAACAUCAUUUGUGUUGAAUUGCAUGCAUACAUAGCAUUGUACUUCGUCACAUCGCUUAUCUACGUAUCGCACUUGCGCAUCGUUCAUCACAUCACUCGAUCACUCACAGGCCCAUCUCAAUACUACUUGUUUAAAAAUAAAUUCAUUGCUAUACUAACGCAUGUAGAAAGGUCACACCCUGCUACUUCCUACAAAACCUAAUCACAUCAAAUCACAUGUGCUAUAAAGUGAAUCAAUCAGUCUUGUAUACAAGCAAAACCAGUCACAUGAACACCACUAAAAUAAGUAAAGGGAAAUAAGAGACAUAAAUGACAAUACAAAAUCAUUUUUUUUUUUUACAAGAAACUGAAAACAAACAAGAAAAGCAUUUUUUCUUAAGCAAGAGACAAGCGAGGCGACAAUUAAAACUGGACAUACUAAAUAAAACAUACAAAAAUAAUGAAGAAAAAUAAAGCCGAAAAUUGCGCUCUCCAAAAACUACGCAAAAAAAAACAAUAUUUUCACGAAAACUAUUUUCUACCAAGAUAAUAUAAAUUUUUUUAAAGAAAUAAUAUGCAGAAAAGUAUUAACUAAAAUUUAAAACUUAAAUAUUAAAACAGUAGCUAAAAAGAGUCGUUAGUUUGAAAAGUGAAAAAACUGGCUAUGCUUCAAUUUAUUGAAAACGUAAAUUAAUCACAACUAUAAAAAAAAACAGAAUUAUCUAAAAAUAACUUAAACAAUACCAAUGCAACUUAAGCGCAAAGAAAAAACUAAAACAUACAUACAAACUGGAUCAACUCAAAUUUUUUGCGAAUACAGCUUAAACGUUAGUACUUCCCGCCGUUAGAAGAUUUUUGUAACAAGAAAAAAUUGAUAUAAUUAUUACAAAAAAAAACUAAAAAAA